UAACCCGAGGUACCACUGUAUUCUCAUCCCUUCCAGCUCUACAGCUCUAUUAUUGUUUGAUUCUGUGAGGCAUGUAAAGAGUUAACUGAACUGAAUGCAGACUUGCAAGCAGCAAAGUCAGUUAAACUGUCAACUGUCAACCUGGGGAAGAUUUCUGGCUUUAUAUUCAAAACCAAAGGGGGGCUGUUUUAACUGGCCAGUAAGUGGACAUUCCGCCUCAUCUCAUUGGCCCAUAACUACAAACCAUUCACAGGACAGGAUUUCACUCAGAUGGUAGUGAUAAAAGGCCAGGUUCAGUACUGGUCAGACUAGAGUAGCUGUUGGAGUGGAACAGCGAGGGCUUAGGGGAGCUAGGUGAAGAGGUUUGUUUCUGAAGGGAAGUUGGAGAUGAAACCGAGGAACUGGUAUCACCAGGGCAAAGAGAUGAAGGUCUGCCAGGAGGAGAGCAAGGUUUUGUGGCUAUUGCCAAAUGACAGCUGGUUGUUCUGAACAGCAACCCUAAGAAGAUUGAAGGGACCCAAGAGUGAAGGACAUGUGUGACUUGCUUUUUUGAAUGACCCCUUAGCGGAGGAUUUUGUUAACAUGCUUGCACUUGGGGGCUCUGGAGACUUCUACUUGGAUCAACAAGAAACAUUGAUUCUAACAUGUUCCAAAGGAUUUGUGACAUUCUCAGCGUGUGUGAAACUCAAAUCACCCCCCACAGGCCCACCGUCUGAUGACAUGUGGAAAGCUUUCCUCGCUAUUUGUCCUUGGAAAUGUGUUUCUUUCCGGAGGGAAGAUCUCUAAAGAGCUGGCUAUUGUCCUUCCCGCUGUGGAGUCCCUUCUCUUCUUCAGAAGAGAGUGACCUUGACCUCGGAUAGACCCUACCGAGGAGGAGGAAGCCCCCGGAAGUUGUUCAGCUGCCCUUGAUUUUUCCCAGGAGGGCGACCAGUGGUGGCAAAGAAGAGCAUGGGCUCACCCUGAUGUUUAGCAUUUUUGUGUUUACAGAAAAACAACAACACCCCCCCCCAAAAAAACCUUGCUGGAAAGUGGGUUUUCGCCAUCAUUCUCUCUUUUCUGAAGGGGGUGUCUGUGUGUGAUGGUGGGGAAGGUUUCUGAACAGUCUUCUCUGCCCGAUGGAGAUGCGGGGGGGGGGGGUGCGACGAGGAAAUAGCAAGACCCUGCAGUCAGCUCCAGGACCUGUUUUUGAAAUGCCACUGCGCAAGAAGAAGCAGGAACAAUGAAGACAUCUCGUGGCACCUUGAAGACGUGGCAAAUGAAGCAUUGGAAUUGCCCUGCUGGAUCCGACUAAGGUCCGUCUAGCGCAGCAUCCUUCGGUUUCCAGUUCACCAGCCGGGCAGGAAGGUGACUUCGGGCCCUGGGGGUGUUCAGACGUCAACAGGAAGACCUCGUGCGGCUCCAGAGCGUUUCAGAAAUGAUGCUCCAUUCAUUGGUUUCAUUCGCUGGCUUGUUAAGCCAGCUAAGCUAAAGGUCACCCCUACACCUUGUCGCGGGUCAUUCCACAAGAGAAUGAGGGACCAUCUCUGUUCACAAACUUGUCCGGCACGGACUGAGGUAUAAGCCAGAGCCUCAAACCGAGGCACAAACGCACAGGAGCCUUUCGCGGCGCAAGGAAACAAAGAAACUGUUUGGCAAAGCAAGGCUGAAGGCAGCACACUACGAAUCAAUUGAUUUAAGUUAACACGAUUCCAUUAACAACAGAGUGCCUCUGGGCAUGUGAGGAGUGCUUCCUUCAGCAAGUACUGACAGCUGCGGGCGUUCCAGAGGGAGAACAUUUCCACUCUGCAAAAGGGGCGCCCGUCAGUAUUAAUAACAACUAUUAUUAUUAUUAUUAUUAUUAUUAUUAUUAUUAUUAUUAUUAAUUUGUACCGCGCCCAUCUGACUGGGUUGCCCUUGACAGGGGCCUCCCCAACUUUUGGCACCCAAGUGGAUGGGAACACCCCUAAUUCCUAGAGGAAGGGGGGAAAGUAGGGGGCAUAGCUGUCAACGUUUCCCCCUUUUUAAGGGAAAUUCCCUUAUUCCGAAUAGGAUUCCUCGCAAGAAAAGGGAAAAGUUGGCAGCUAUGGUAGGAGGUGUUCAUACUCUGGUUGUUCUUGUGUGCGUUUGCCGGCCUACUUCUUACAGCGGAAAAAAACCCAAACCUAGUCCUAAAUGGGCGAUCCUAUUGGCUCAGAAAGAAAAUCCCCCCCGGAGCGUUUGUUCCUUCGGCUGGUUUUCAGCCAGGCUGGAUGUCAUGUCUUUUCUGGUGCAACCCAGGGAGUUUUAAGGCCACUCUCGUUCAAAGAGGCGACCGAAGUGCAAGCCAUGGGGGGUGGGGGAGCGGAGAAGAGAGAGGAAGAAAGAGAGAGAGAAUGUUAAUCGCGAAGGAAUUUCCUUUCCCCCCCCCCCGCGCCCCUCCCUCCUCGAUCUGGUUUCUGAAAUCCGGGCGCAAAAUGCUGCCCCUUCUUCCCUUCCCUCCAGUCAACCCGCGAGUUUCCCCUUAGCGGAAAUGUUCCUCCGCUGAAAGGGGCGCGAAUGGCCGGGCUUCCUCCCCCGCCUCCGCCUCCGCCUCCCCCGCAGAGUCGCUUUAAUUAAAGUCACAAAGUCGCGGUUGAUUCUCGGCUUGGCUUCUGCGCCUUGAAUCGGCUUUCCCCGCCUCCUGCCUCUCCCCCCCCCUUCUUUUUUUCCCUCCUUGGAGUUGACUCGGAUGCAGUUGAACACUCGCUGGGGUAGCUUCGUCCAGAUGUUGCAGCAGCUUUUCAGGGGGACAGAGCAGACAAUGCAUAGGAUAAAGCCAUCUCCUAGGGGCCGAGGUCCCUUUGGCCCCCCAGUAAAAUAUUUCAGAAGGCGGCCUCCCAGAGUUGAUGGGCAUUGCUUACCUGCCCCCCAAUAUGCUAUUCAAGUUGGCACUCCUGGACAGAUGCGUGUCAUCCCCCCCCCCAGCCUUCCCACUCCUCUUUUCUCCGCCCAACUUCCUUCUCUCUCUUCUCCCCUUCUUCAAACUUUGCCUUUGGAAAGGGUUGAACAACAACAAACCCACCUCUGGAUCGGCCCUUAUUUGACCUUUGUCGU